rnacentral:rRNA from 1 species
AGAGGGGGCAAGCGUUAUUCGGAAUUAUUGGGCGUAAAGGGCGCGUAGGCGGCCGAUCAAGUGGUAGGUGAAAUCCCUCGGCUCAACCGAGGAACUGCCUCCCAAACUGACUGGCUUGAGUCCGGGAGAGGUGAGUGGAAUUCCCAGUGUUGCGGUGAAAUGCGUAGAUAUUGGGAGGAACACCGGUGGCGAAGGCGGCUCACUGGACCGGAACUGACGCUGAGGCGCGAAAGCGUGGGGAGCAAACGGGAUUAGAUACCCCGGGUAGUCCACGCCGUAAACGAUGAGUGCUUGGUGUAGCGGGUAUCGACCCCCCUGCUGUGCCGAAGUUAACGCAUUAAGCACUCCGCCUGGGGAGUACGGUCGCAAGGCUG